rnacentral:rRNA from 1 species
UACGUAGGGGGCAAGCGUUGUCCGGAUUUAUUGGGCGUAAAGAGCUCGUAGGCGGCUUGUUGCGUCGACCGUGAAAACCCGCGGCUCAACUGCGGGCUUGCGGUCGAUACGGGCGAGCUGGAGUUCGGUAGGGGAGACUGGAAUUCCUGGUGUAGCGGUGAAAUGCGCAGAUAUCAGGAGGAACACCGGUGGCGAAGGCAGAUCUCUGGGCCGUAACUGACGCUGAGGAGCGAAAGCGUGGGGAGCGAACAGG